GUACGCACUAGCAUUAUUGGUUUCUCCCUUCUGACGAACCACGAUGUCAUUAAUUUGGUGUCAUGGGAAAUCAGGACUGUUACUUGAAAAAUUAGAGUGUUUAAAGCAAGCUCGCGCUUGAAUACAUUAGCAUGGAAUAAUGAAAUAGGACGUUUGAUUCUAUUUUGUUAGGUUUCUAGGAUCGACGUAAUGAUUAAUAGGGAUAGUUGGGGGCAUUAGUAUUCAAUUGUCAGAGGUGAAAUUCUUGGAUUUAUUGAAGACUAAACUACUGCGAAAGCAUUUGCCAAGGAUGUUUUCAUUAAUCAAGAACGAAAGUUAGGGGGAUCGAAGACGAUCAGAUACCGUCGUAGUCUUAACCAUAAACUAUGCCGACUAGGGAUCGGAUGAUGUUAAUUUUUUAAUGACUCAUUCGGCGCCUUACG
rnacentral:rRNA from 1 species